CUUGAUGUUAAUGGAUAACGCGCCGGAUUCGUAAUCAGUAGGUCGUCGGUUCGACUCCGGCCACCGGCACCA
rnacentral:tRNA from 1 species